UCCUUCUCUGUGGCCUGGUGCGUCAGGCACUUAAAAGGCCACCCUGGCUGGGGUCCUUCUCUGUUGCUUGGCAUAUCAGGCAUUUAAAGGGCCGCCCUGGCUGAGGACGUUCCCUGUUGGUCAAUGUGUCAGGUGCCUAAGGGCCCCGCCCACCCCGUUGGGUCCUUCUCUGUUGCUCAGUGUGUCAGGUGUUUAAAGGGUCCCCAUGGUUGGAGUCCUUCUCUGUUGCUUGGAGGGACAGGCACUUAAAUGGCCACCCUAGCUAGGGUCCUUCUCUAUUGCUUCGUGUGUCAGGCACUUAAAUGCCUACCCUGGCUGAGGUCCUUCUCUAUUACGUGGCGUGUCAGGCACUUAAAGGGCCUCUGACUGGGGUCCUUCUCUGUUGCUCAGUUCACCAGGUGCUUAAAUGACGCCCCUGGCUUGAGUUUUUCACUGUUGCUUGGUGUGUCUGGAGCUUAAAUGGCCACAUUCCCUGGGUUCCUUAUCUGUUGCUUGGUGCAUCAGGCACUAAAGCCUGCCCCCGUCCCUGCCCUACCCCCCCAGCACCCGGUUUGGGUCCUUCCCUACUGCUCUCUGUAUCAGGGGCAUAAGGGGCCCCCCUGCUUGGGGUCCUUCUCUGUUGCUUGCAACAUCAAGCGCUUAAAUGGCCAAACUGGCUGGCAUCCAUCUCUUAUUUUUCGUGUCAGUCACUUAAAGGGCCCCCUGGCUGGGUUCCUCUUUUGUUCAGUGCAUCAGGCGCUGAAAUGGCCACCCAUGUUGGGGUCCUUUUUUGUUGCUUGGAGCAUCAGGCACUAAAGCCUGCCCCCUUCCGCCCACCCCCAACCUGGUUUGGGUCUUUCCCUACUGCUCUCUGUGUCAGGGGCCUAAGGGGCCCCCCUGCUUGGGGUCCUUCUCUGUUGCUUGCAACAUCAAGCGCUUAAAUGGCCA
ensembl:lncRNA